GUGUGAAAGAUGAAGCACAAAUGCUGUUAUCAUAAAGGUAUUUCUUCUGUUCUGUAGGUGCAUGAACUGUUCAGCUUAUGCCUCAAUAAAUUCUGUGAUUGUUUCUUCUCAUUCCUAUUGAAUAUUAUCCAUAGAUAAUGUUUUAGAGGAGAGUAAGACAAUCUUUGAAGAUGUCCAUACAGAUUGUUGUGACAUCAGAAAAAUCCUGUUGAAAUUCCAGGAGAGGAAAGAGAAGUUUCCCGACCCAUACUGCGAUGCUUACAUCGGUUUUUGCCUGCCUAAGCUUUUAAAUCCAUUAGUCAGAGUUCAAUUAAUAAAUUGGAGUCCCCUUGAGAAUUCUACAGACCUGAAAGGGAUGCCCUGGUUCAGAGCUGUAGAAGGAUUCAGCGAUGCCAAAAAGUCGUCUGAAUCAAAAAGAGAUGAUGAUCCUGAUGAAGAAGUUUUGCCUAGAGCGAUUGAAAAAACUAUCCUGCCAAAAACUACAGGUAUAUUAAGGCUGUCUUGAGGACGUUCCCUGCAGCUAGCAUUUGCCAAGAAUGUGUGGGAUCCUUUAUCGACUUCAGACUGAGAACCUUACAC